AUUGAACGCUGGCGGCAGGCCUAACACAUGCAAGUCGAGCGAGCGGCGGACGGGUGAGUAAUGUAUGGGGACUGCCCGAUAGAGGGGGAUAAAUACUGGAAACGGUGGCUAAUACCGCAUACUAUCGGAUAACCCAGAUGGGAUUAGCUAGUAGGUAAGGUAAUGGCUUACUUAGGCGACGAUCCCUAGCUGGUCUGAGAGGAUGAUCAGCCACACUGGGACUGAGACACGGCCCAGAUUCCUACGGAGGCAGCAGUGGGGAAUAUUGCACAAUGGGCGCAAGCCUGAUGCAGCCAUGCCGCGUGUAUGAAGAAGGCCCUAGGGUUGUAAAGUACUUUCAGUCGGGAGGCGUUACCUACAGAAUAAGCACCGGCUAACUCCGUGCCAGCAGCCGCGGUAAUAC
rnacentral:rRNA from 1 species